UGUGAUGCGAAAUCUUUAUACCCAUCUCGCGUUAAUCUGGAUCGUUCAUCGCAUUUAAUCUCUACCGUUCGAUCGCGCAUAAGGAGGAAACUAAUUUUGACCAUUCAUCGUGUUUGAUCUCGACAGUCCAAUCGCGCCUAAGAAGGAAACAAAUUUGGACCGUUCAUUGCAUUUGAUUGCGACCGUCCGAUCGGGACAGAUGAGGGAACAGAUCAUAAACCGUCCAUGCGCGCAGGAAGGCUUCUGGGUUGUCCGAUCGCAGGGCACAUGGAUCGCUAGCGUGGCCUCUCGCGUGACACUGAGUCAGCGUUUCUUGCCGCACGGCGCGCUCCAGUUCGUCGAGGGUGCUGAUUGAGCGGUCCUACGUGACAAAUUUUUUUUAAAAUUGCUUUCU
rnacentral:lncRNA from 1 species